UUUAUACAACGAAGAGUUUGAUCCUGGCUCAGGAUGAACGCUAGCGACAGGCCUAACACAUGCAAGUCGAGGGGUAACG
rnacentral:rRNA from 1 species